GUAACAAGGUCUCCGUUGGUGAACCAGCGGAGGGAUCAUUGCUGGAACUGUGCCCUCACGGGCACAACCCCAGAUACCCUUUUGUGAACUUAUACCAUUUUAUCGUUGCCUCGGCGCUGAGCCGGGAGGGGCACCCCGCGUGCCCCCUCCCCCGGCCGCUCUCCGGAGCGGCAGGAGCAGGCCCGCCGGCGGCCCACCAAACUCUUGUUUUUUACAACGUAUCUCCUCUGAGUGAAAACAAAAACAAAUGAAUCAAAACUUUCAACAACGGAUCUCUUGGUUCUGGCAUCGAUGAAGAACGCAGCGAAAUGCGAUAAGUAAUGUGAAUUGCAGAAUUCAGUGAAUCAUCGAAUCUUUGAACGCACAUUGCGCCCGCUGGAAUUCCGGCGGGCAUGCCUGUUCGAGCGUCAUUUCAACCCUCAAGCCUAGCUUGGUGUUGGGGCACUACCCGUCAAACGGUAGGCCCUGAAAUUCAGUGGCGGGCUCGCUAAGACUCUGAGCGUAGUAGUUUACCACCUCGCUUUGGAAGGAUUAGCGGUGCCCCUGCCGUAAAACCCCCCAACUUCUGAAAAUUUGACCUCGGAUCAGGUAGGAAUACCCGCUGAACUUAAG
rnacentral:rRNA from 1 species